UGGCAAAGGAUCCUUGAAUUCAAUCCCCAGUACUACAAAAAUAAUAGUUUAAAAAAUCAAUGGAGUUUAAAAAAUUCUAAUAAAUCAAUUGGGCAAGUAAAAUAGAGAUUCAGGAGAUAUACCAAUUGUCCUGCAUGGUUUCAGAACAUACAUACGAGAACAAAAAUGAAACACCUCUAAAGAAUAAGUAACUAUACAUUAGCACAUAUAAUUACUCAUAUUUGCUUGUAUUCCUAAUUCUCCUUCUCUUAAUUUCUCCUCCUGUCUUACAAGUAUUGAGAAAGGAAUGCAAGAUGUAUUUUCCUAGGCACAAUAUCUUCCCAGGUGGGCGCUAUUGUCUGUGGUAGCAGGUAAAUAGUAGAUUUGAAUUGACUGCUUUAUUUCUUUGUAUUUCAGAGACCAGAACAACCUAGGAGCUCAAUUUAAUAGUUCUGUGCAUUGACAGGCUGCAAGUUAAUCUACACAUACAUACACUCAGUCACCAGACUUUCAAAAUAUUUCUACAGGACCAAACAAUGACUCCCCAGUGUUUGCAACCUGGGGUUCUCUGGAUCACAGACGCAGGGAAGCAGCUCCUCUUUUCCUCAUUUGGUUGAGGACCCAUGGUUACUGAAUGCUUAUCGAGUGAAAUGGAUCAACUACGCUUUUGUGGUCUCAUGUCUGAAAAGCUGUUUCCAGGACCUCCCUCAGGAACAAAGGAAGAUUUCCCUGGGCCAAGUCACACUCCCUUUGUCACUGAGGAAAUUUUCCCAGAGCAGUAAAUGGAUGGAGUUGGAGAAUAUGUUAAACCAAGUAAGCCAAUCCCCAAAAACCAAAGGCC